rnacentral:sRNA from 1 species
CCUUUUUCAACGGGUGAUAUUCUCUUUUAAAAACGGUUGUAAAUCAUUUUAAAAACGGUUGUAAAUCUUUUCAAAGUGACUGACCCUAAUUCGGUGAAGAUGUCAGCAGCCAAUCCCUGUUUAAUUUGUUUUCAGGUUAUAGUGAAUUUUUGGGCUUUAGUGUUUUUUGGGCUUUUAGUUUUUUUUAAACUAAAACAGUUUGUUUUUCUAAAUAACAGGCCUAGGCCCAAUUAGUAACAGAUACAGUAUUUAACAUUACUGUAACUUUUUCAACGGUUGAAAUUCUCAUUUAAAAACGGUUGUAAAUCAUUUUAAAAACGGUUGUAAAUCUUUUCAUAAUAACAGUUACUGCAGCCUUUUCAACACUUUUAAAACGCUUUUAAAACAGCUUAUAAAUCGUUUGUAAAUCUCUUUUAAAAACGGUUGUAAAUUAUUUUAAAGACGAUUGUAAUUUUUUUUUAUAAUAACCGCUAUUGCAGCUUUUUCAACACUUUUAAAAUCCUUAUAAAGCAGCUUGUAAAUCGUUUAAAAACCCUGUUUAAAAGCAUGUUUAAAGUAAUUUUCCAUUCAAAUCAAAGCACCUGUUAACAGAAACAACCAUUAUACAGUAAUUUUGUAAAACAGGAAUUGAACUAAAUAAACUUUUAAAUAUUCAAAUGACAAAGUUUUAUAAAAUAAGAAACAAAAGCUGAUAAAUCUAUCUUAUACUCCACUACUUUUUGAUUAGAAGUCUGCUACUUCUACAAAGUGACUGACUCUAAUUCGGUGAAGAUGUCAGCAACCAAUUUAUUCCUAACGUUUUGAAUUAUGUUCCCUUCAAAGUUUGAAUGGCUGGUAUACAUUGAGUAGCAUUCCAUAAACUUCAGCAUAUAGAUACCAGACUCUUCAUUUCUAGGAGCCUAUAACGAAAAACCAAAAGAAUUACUUAAGCAAAGAAGUUAUAGAAGUCAGGACUUACGGAAUAUUCAUUUCUAAGACUAUGAUAUAUUUAAAGAAGUUACCUGAGGAAAAGUGGUCAGGACUUUGAUGCUAAAUGGAGAGACAUCCAUGUCUUCUUUUUUGAGGAUGUUCUGAACAAUGUAUGGCAUAGCUAUAGAGUAGGCAACAACAUAUUUUUUCUUGACUUCUUCUGUUAAAUAAGAAGCUGCACAUUCCCAUAUACAAACUGUCUUCUGUUCCAAGUGGAUGAGCAAGGCAACCCAGCAUUUUCCUUUGAUACAGAAAGGAGCCAAUAUGCACUUGGUUUCUUCCUCUAUUAUCAGCUUACUGAUUUCUUCAGACUGAAACUGAAAUCCCUCUUUGUUAUCCAAAAACUCCAUGUAUGACUCAUCAAUCACAUUUAAGAAAGACGAUCCAACAAAUACAACUAAUUUGUUUUUGAAUAAUUCUGGAUUGCUUUCCUUCCUCGUUUUCAUCAACUCCAAAGCUGCAUCAACAUGCUAAAUACAACAAAAAUA